AGAUGGUGGUGUGAAAGAUUAGAAUAAGACACUCUUGUAUUUCUUCUCACACAAAAACCUAAAAUCGAAACCUUAGAAUCCACCCUAGACCCCACGCCCAAAGAGAUAGAUCUCUUCCUCUAUUUCUCACACACAAAAGCCCACCCCCUCUCUAUUUCAUGCCCCCUAUCACUCAGAAAAGAUUUUUUGUUAUAAAAUUCAACAACAUUUGUUGCACAAAAUGAGAAAGAAUUUAAGGUGGCG
rnacentral:lncRNA from 1 species